GAAAUACUAGGAGACAGCACAUAAAAUAAAUCUAUAAUGAAAACCAUGCAAAACCUCUGCUCACAUUCAAUUCUAUGGAAGGAACCAUGUAAAUAUUGUACAUAAUCAUGAAACAAAACUAUUUUUCAAACAAUCUCGUAAAAACUGAAAGUAUAGUACAACAGAUGAACCUAAGAGAAAAUUGAGUUAGUGGAUGGACACACACACACAGAGGACCUAGUUCGUAUCAUUCGCAGUACCACUGAGAACCAGGACACUCAGCUUGGGGAAAAUGAUGCAGAUGGAAGAAGGAAGAGACAGCACCUUUGAAGACCAUGUGUUAGAUAUGGCCCAGAAAAGUCAUGCCAGACUUUCGUCCCACAGCUAUCACAAAGUCUGUCCUGAGACAGGAUCUCAUUAAGUCGCUAAGUUGCCCAGGUGAGGCUCAAACUUGCAAUCCCCCUGCCCAAAACAGCACCUCCAGCUCCUCUGUCUUCAACUGAAGAAGUGUUGAUCCCGAACAUGAUAAAAAAUUUAAAAAUAAAAAUGAAAGAAGCAUUGAAGAACGGACACCGGUGGACAGCAGAGCCUACGGCCAACAGUGCUCCCUUCUUGACAGUGUCUUCUGUGGAGAAGCCCUUUCCGCGGCUGAAGCCCAUAAGGGUCUGAACCAGUCCCAGGUCAGCCCUCCCUGCCAAAGAGGACACUGGAGCAGUGUCCUGAGGCAGCCAGCUUCCUUCUGAGUACAGAUGCACGAAG